rnacentral:rRNA from 1 species
UACGGGGGGGGCAAGCGUUGUUCGGAAUUACUGGGCGUAAAGGGCUCGUAGGCGGCCAACUCAGUCGGACGUGAAAUCCCUCGGCUUAACCGGGGAACUGCGUCCGAUACUGGAUGGCUUGAGUAUGGGAGAGGGAUGCGGAAUUCCAGGUGUAGCGGUGAAAUGCGUAGAUAUCUGGAGGAACACCGGUGGCGAAGGCGGCAUCCUGGACCAACACUGACACUGAGGAGCGAAAGCCAGGGGAGCAAACGGG